rnacentral:rRNA from 1 species
UGUUAAGAGACAGCAGCCGCCGCGGUAACACGAAGGGUGCAAGCGUUAAUCGGAAUUACUGGGCAUAAAGCGCACGCAGGCGGUUUGUUAAGUCAGAUGUGAAAUCCCUGAGCUUAACUUGGGAACUGCAUUUGAAACUGGCAAGCUAGAGUCUUGUAGAGGGGGGUAGAAUUCCAGGUGUAGCGGUGAAAUGCGUAGAGAUCUGGAGGAAUACCGGUGGCGAAGGCGGCCCCCUGGACAAAGACUGACGCUCAGGUGCGAAAGCGUGGGGAGCAAACGGGAUUAGAUACCCCUGUAGUCCCUGUCUCUUAUAC